rnacentral:misc_RNA from 1 species
UCCCCGUUCACCGGGGCAGUCCCCUCAGAGUGCCCGGCAUGACCCGGUAGCAACAGAGGGCGAGGGUUGCGCUCGUUGCGGGACUUAACCCAACAUCUCACGACACGAGCUGACGACAGCCAUGCAGCACCUGUGCACAGGCCCCGAAGGGAAGGCGACUUUCAUCACCGGUCCUGCACAUGUCAAACCCAGGUAAGGUUCUUCGCGUUGCGUCGAAUUAAACCACAUGCUCCACCGCUUGUGCGGGCCCCCGUCAAUUCCUUUGAGUUUCAGCUUUGCGACCGUACUCCCCAGGCGGGGCACUUACUGCGUUAGCGCCGGCACCGACCAGCCAAGCUGACCAACGUCUAGUUCUCAUCGUUUACAGCGUGGACUAC